rnacentral:rRNA from 1 species
GGGAGCGUUCUGUAAGCCUGUGAAGGUGUGUCGUGAGGCAUGCUGGAGGUAUCAGAAGUGCGAAUGCUGACAUAAGUAACGAUAAAGCGGGUGAAAAGCCCGCUCGCCGGAAGACCAAGGGUUCCUGUCCAACGUUAAUCGGGGCAGGGUGAGUCGACCCCUAAGGCGAGGCCGAAAGGCGUAGUCGAUGGGAAACGGGUUAAUAUUCCCGUACUUGGUGUUACUGCGAAGGGGGGACGGAGAAGGCUAUGUUGGCCGGGCGACGGUUGUCCCGGUUUAAGCGUGUAGGUGUGUGUUCCAGGUAAAUCCGGUUCACUUUAACACUGAGGCGUGACGACGAGGCACUACGGUGCUGAAGCAACAAAUGCCCUGCUUCCAGGAAAAGCCUCUAAGCAUCAGGUAACACGAAAUCGUACCCCAAACCGACACAGGUGGUCAGGUAGAGAAUACCAAGGCGCUUGAGAGAACUCGGGUGAAGGAACUAGGCAAAAUGGUGCCGUAACUUCGGGAGAAGGCACGCUGACACGUAGGUGAAGUGAUUUACUCAUGGAGCUGAAGUCAGUCGAAG